rnacentral:rRNA from 1 species
CUCUCUGGGUGCGAGCGGCGGACGGGUGAGUAAUGUCUGGGAAACUGCCUGAUGGAGGGGGAUAACUACUGGAAACGGUAGCUAAUACCGCAUGACCUCGCAAGAGCAAAGUGGGGGACCUUCGGGCCUCACGCCAUCGGAUGUGCCCAGAUGGGAUUAGCUAGUAGGUGGGGUAAUGGCUCACCUAGGCGACGAUCCCUAGCUGGUCUGAGAGGAUGACCAGCCACACUGGAACUGAGACACGGUCCAGACUCCUACGGGAGGCAGCAGUGGGGAAUAUUGCACAAUGGGCGCAAGCCUGAUGCAGCCAUGCCGCGUGUGUGAAGAAGGCCUUAGGGUUGUAAAGCACUUUCAGCGAGGAGGAAGGCGCUGUAGUUAAUAGCUGCAGCGAUUGACGUUACUCGCAGAAGAAGCACCGGCUAACUCCGUGCCAGCAGCCGCGGUAAUACGGAGGGUGCAAGCGUUAAUCGGAAUUACUGGGCGUAAAGCGCACGCAGGCGGUUUGUUAAGUCAGAUGUGAAAUCCCCGAGCUUAACUUGGGAACUGCAUUU